rnacentral:lncRNA from 1 species
GGUGUUGUUCUAACAGAUGUGGUUGCUGGAAACAUUUCUUCAUCAAUGUGCUUGUAUGUGGACUGGAACCAAAAUGCCGAUUCCCUGGCCGUUGCAUUAUCAGAUGGUUCACUGUCUGUGGUUCCCAUGAGAGAGGACCGCCUGGAGGUAUCAGAACAAUGGACUGCUCAUCAGUAUGAAGUUUGGACAUGUUAUUUCGAUCGUGCAAGACCACACUUGUUGUACAGUGGAUCGGACGACUGCUCUUUCGGUUGCUGGGAUUUGCGGGAAAGCCCAUCGAAUGCUGUGUUUCGGAAUAAGAAGACUCAUACUAUGGGUGUGUGUUGCAUUGCUUAGAACCCAUUGGAGGGGAAUAUGCUACUCACUGGAAGCUAUGACGAAUUUCUCAGAGUUUGGGACAUGAGAUCAGUGGCGGAGCCAGCCAGCUGAAGGAGCCGGGGCAAAGUCUUUACACGGCGAUGUUGCCCGGCAUUUGCCCAAGUAAUUAGUACUGCAAAUCAUGGUUUCUUUGCAUUGUUUAGUGAAAAAUGGCCGGAGCAGCCCGGGCAGCUGCCCCAGGUCGCCGGGAGCUAGCUCCGCCACUGCAUGAGAUCAAUGAUGAAACCUGUGAACGAGAAGUCCCUGAAUUUAGGAGGUGGUGUAUGGAGGUUGAAAUAUCAUCCUAAUAUUGCAGAUGUCGUAUUGGCUGCAUGCAUGCACAACGGUUUUGCCAUUGUUAAAGCAGGGGCUGGAGAUGCUACCAUAAUGGAAACAUAUUGCAAGCAUGAGUCCUUAGCAUAUGGUGCAGAUUGGCAGACAAGUGAAGCAGCGGAAUAUAACACGAAUUCUUCAGUUAUCGCUACUUGUUCAUUUUAUGACCGCCUUCUCCGUGUGUGGCAACCAGAGAACCUAGUCAACCACCCAACCUCUAAGGCGUAAAACAUCAUUAUGCCCAGUUGAAGUAUCAAUAUGGCAUGGACCAACCUAUUCCCUGAAUGAACCAAAUUGAUUUCAUUCAGGUAGCUCUGUGAAUUUAUGUUAAUUUAUUUCAAAUGAUGAGCUUAUAGUAGUAUGAUGUCUAAUUUAUAGCUAGGCAUUCACAGUAAUCAGUAUUCGUUGUAAGCUUCCACAAAACUUUGAAGCUAUCUGUUCAUGUUAUUUGAGCACAAACUGUUUUGAAGUUCAUCUGGUGACUGGUGCAUAGAAGUGAUGAUUCAGCACCAAUCUAGACAUCUACCUGGAAGAGCCUCUGACUGAGCUUUUCGCUGGUCAUAAACUAAUAAUUCUGUCUGAAAACUUACAGUAUGCUGUACGCAGUGCUUUCUUAUUUUUCUUUUUCAUCACAUUCUGAUAACGGCUGGAAUGGUUACCGAUUUUACUUUUCCAGUGCAUGCACUGUUGCUUAUAUUAACCUACUGCGCAGUAUGGUCAACAUGCUAAUCACGAUUCUUAAAAGUGUUGGAUCAUUGUUUUUCUUGGAUGAAAUUUGAGGUGUUGGGUAGUUGCCACAGCCUCAGCGGGCCAAAACAAGGGCAAAAAAGUUCUUAGUUACUUUUCUGAUAAGUUUUGUUAGUUGCUUUUUUGAUAAGUUAAAAAUAUAUUGCGGUCUAGUGGAUCUUACUAAGUUACUAGUGACUCAUGAAGCAAUACUCAUACCACACUUCAGUAGAGCUACUUUAUUCUUUAUCGUUUGCAUUUUCCCAGAAAGUUCUGAGUCUUGUCUUUGUGCUAAUCACACAUGGCUCAGAAGGCAGAACGCAGAACAGAUCAACUGGUCCAGUUUACAGAACUGUUCUGCUCCUAUCGGUGAAAAUAAUGAAGACAUGAAUCAAUUUUGACAUGUACUUGACUGUGGUAUAAAUAACUAUGGGUAAUAUUUGAAGAUAACCUCAAAGGAUGCUUCAAUUUGUUUGUGACUUGUUCUGAAUUCAUUAGAGGCAAAUCAUCUACAGUAGAAUGAGAUACCUUGGUAAUAAUGGACAAGAUGAGAUCUGUGUCACUUUGAAUAAGCGGGAAUGCUGGUUGGCAUGUCAGAGAAAUAGAAUAAUGAGAAUCAUAUGGUUUGCUUGGGAUGAUAAGCGAAAAAAGCUCUAAGGUUUCCCUUCCUGCAUCCUUCUAUCUGACACCACUAAGUACUAACUGUGCACUAAUCAGAAUUAUCUGUUUCUACAUCAGGUCACCAAGAAUAGCUGUAUUCCGAACAUGAACAAUAAAGAUAGUGAUGUAUUUAGUCUUAUAUGUAGCUAAGUAACCUUUGAUGUUUUCUGACCUUUUUCCUUAAAAAGGAUUCAAUAUCAACUGUUUGUUUAGGUUAGCUACCGAGGGGACUUGAAUUUUAUUAUGCUAGAAUGGCUUACACUAGCUGGUUUAGUUGUGCUCUUAGGCCUUCCCCUGAUGGCUGACAUGCAGUAGGUAUGUUAAUCUACCCUUUAGCUGAGCCUUAUAGUGUUGUAUUGGAUUCAUCCCACUGAUUUGCACGAAGCAUCUAGACCCAAGACCUAAGAGGCUAGUAUGUGACAAUUUAUUGCUUGAAUUUUCAUUGUAGAGAAUCUGAUUUACUGUCUGACAUAAAAUCUCUAAUUUGAUCCUACUCAUCUUUCAGCUCUGUUGUAUUGAAUUGACAAUAUAGUUGACUUUCCAGACCUUAUCUGCUGAUGUCAUGACCUCCUUUGGUUUCAUCAUGAAUGGCUACUCAGGGGAUUCUUUGACGUGAAGGGGGUCACCCCUACAUGGCUAAACCUAAUUUAUGGAUUAGUCUGGUAAGAAUAUUGUAUCUAUGUUCCAGAGUUUAUCUUUCUAAGUAAACACGGGACGUUAUACAUCUGUUUUACUCUCCUUAAGCACGACACACCUAAUUUCCAACCCUGAACAUGAUAUAUAUUUUUUGAACGGAAAAUUAUAGGGGAGGCUCGACAGUACAAAUUUAGUAAAACAAGUACCCAACUUUGUACUAAACCAGAGACAAGUAAUAUGGAUCGGAGGGAGUAGUAAUAUUUACAAGAGAGGGCUGUACAGGGGGAGGGGGAGAAGAACUGCUAAUCUGGUAAGCCUGCUCAUCCUUCAUUCUGUAAGAGAGAAGGAAAGGGUCUCUUUUAAUGAGAAAAGGCCAGGAGGCUAAACUAGGAGGAAUAUUAUGAAAAAAUUCUAGCAUUUCUUUGUUUCCAAAUGUUCCAAGCUGCUACAAGAAAGGCUUCUCUGGAGAGAGGUUUGCUGAGAGGAAGGAGCAAGGUAAAGAUUAAUUGAGGCCCAGCAGCCCCUGCUGAAGGAGCAGUUCCAGAAAAUAUGAUCACGAGUUUCAAGGGUCCUCGAGGUACGCAAACGUAGCUGGAACCGCCAUUCGUAUGAAAGUUAUUAAACUCAAUUUGAUAAAGCUACCUGGCGAAUAGGAACAGUUUCGAGUUUCUGGUCUAUUUUCUUUUGAGAAUCAAACCUCUAAUGGGUUUUUGCUACCAGGAGAAGGGAAUGGCCAUGUUGAUGGGGUCGUCUUUCAAGCAUGUCUUGAGUAUUUAGUCUGUGUCAUUAAAGAGCAAACAGGCAAAAGCUUUGAGUUUGGCUGAGCAUUUGGAUUUCCACAUCCACGAGAAGAUGCUGUAUAUUUGGUGGCAUAAUAGCCAUUCCCCAAUUAGUCAGCUCUACAGCAGCUAUAUGAAUUACCCACAUAACCAUUGGUAAGAAGUAACUAACUUGGUUUAAAACAUAAAUCUAGUAUCUAUUCCCUGUCUGCCUGCCUGCCUGCCUGCCUGGAUUUGAUAGAAUCAACCAGGCACAGCAUGUUCCAUGGCCAUCGCCAGUGGUAACCAAUCAAUCACUAUGGUGGGAACCACAAACCUUGGUUCUUGUCUCUGACGUCACUGAUUGGUGCAUUUCUGUGAGGGCACUCACUAUGUGCAUCCCUCAGCCAUCUAUUAAAAGAGCUAACAUUCAGAAAGUUCGUUGGAUUGCUCCACUUGAUUGCGGCCAACGAUUAAAUCCCACUUUGGUGGAGCAGUGGAGCCCCACGAUUGGUGGUAGUGAUUUCCUUGCUGUCGUACUGGGAGCACCUGUCCACUGAUUAUACGUACUAGUUGAUUUUUUGGAAGAUUUUAAUGUAUAUCCAGGGAUGGUCCAGCUAGGACUCGAGAGUGCUAAUCUAGUAAUCUUACUUGGAAGUUGGAACUGAGAUCUGGUGAUCAUGUCAACUUUAAUAGCAUCGAGAUGGGAGAUGAUUUAAUUAGAUAGAGGACUUUCUAAUCUACACUCCAGGGUUGGGAAAUGCAACACUUCGGAUAAGCAUGAAGUAGUGGCUGAAUAGGAAGGCCACAUUGCUCUAGCUCCAUAUUCUUAAAGGCAUAGCUUUAGAGGUGGAGUGUGCUUCUUCAGCUUUUUGUAAAGGCUUAGGCUACCUUUAUAUUUUAUGGUAGAUUCAGCCCACAUGAUCAGUUCCUGAGUUUUAUAUUUGUUGGUAAAUAUCUCUUGCUGAAAGCACUGCUCGGCGAGGAAGGACCUAUUAUACGCGCUAUUGGAUAAAACUGAAAGGUCUAAUGUCAAUGGAAUUAUGGGACAGCUAGUGAAAAUCGAAUGACAAAUCAAAGAGAUAAUGAGGUAGGAUCUGCAUCUAGUGAAAAGAGAUAUGAAGUUUACGAGUAUAGAUGCCCUGGAAUUGGAUGUUGAUCAUAGCUUCUGAAGUGCCUUUUGUAAAUGCCCUCCUUUUUACAAUGUAGGUUUUAACAUUGUUCUCGUGAGUAAAUAACUGCUUUUGAUAACAGUGGGCCUGGGAGUGGAAUGGGAGUUUCUCUAGAGAGAGAAUGUAGAUGAAAUUGACAUGUAGCGAGGCAACAACGACCUCAUUGUGAAUCCCAGCAAUUGAGCACUCGACACAGUAAAGUUUAGUUUACUCUCAUUGUCCUUUCUCCAAUAAUGCAUUGUACGCUGGCCAAUUUAAAAUGCCACCUUGCAGAUUCUAGGUCCUUGCACUAUGAUUUACCUGGCAAAGCACCUGCAGACAUCAGCAUCCUCACGAGCAUAUAAGGCAACCCUUCCCUCUCCUCUUGUCCACAGCCCCUACCGACUAUGGAAGGCGCAUGGCUCGAGCAUCUACAUGGCUCUUGAGAGCGGAAGCAGGGUCGGGAUGAACCGCAAAGCUGAGCGCUUCAGCUUUGCGGUGCCUCUCCUGACCUCCCAGGUGGUCGCCUGAGGUACGCAAGAAUCGGCAAGUCACAAAACGGCAAUGGUGAACUCCGGCAGGAGUCCACCCCCCUUUUAUCCUUUUCUCUCCAUUCAGUUGUAUCAGGUGGAAGUCGAAUAAUCGGAAGUCUCUGUGUGUGAUGAAUCAAUGGAUGCUUCAAGUCCAUGUUUUGUUUUUCUCUUCCUUUAUUAUGUGUACUCUGGAAACACUACUAUAAAUGGCUGAUGUUCAUCUAGCAAAACCACUUUAUGGUGUCUUGUUUGAUUCUCUUGUGUCGUCUUUACCGGUUAACUUGUUAUAUAUGCUGCUUCGAAACAGAUUGGUGUAUGCUGUCUGUGCAGAAUACACUGCAUAUUUUGAACUCUAUGGCUCUUUUAAAUACGUUGACCCUACAGCGAUCUGUGCUGCUAUAAACAUAAUAUUUACAUGAUGUACUCCAAGGCAGACAUUUUCCGGAAUUUUUUAUGAGCUAAAAAACAUCUAUAUGAAAGAUGGCAAUAAGAUCUAAAACUGAAAAGAGAAGGGGAACAAGUGAUGAAAAGGUUUCCCCCUUCUGGCUGUCUGGGACUUUAGCAUAUCUUGUGGACAAGUCCUGAUUGGUACAACAACAACAACAACAACAACAACAACAAAGCCUUUAGUCCCAAACAAGUUGGGGUAGGCUAGAGGUGAAACCCAUAAGAUCUCGCAACCAAUUCAUGGCUCUGGCACAUGGAUAGCAAGCUUUCACGCACCCCUGUCCAUAGCUAGCUCUUUGGUGAUACUCCAAUCCUUCAGGUCUUUUUUAACGGACUCCUCCCAUGUCAAAUUCGGUCUACCCCGCUCUUUCUUCACAAGUCCUGAUUGGUACACUGAAAAAAAAAUUCAGCCAUGGUGCAAGCCAAUGAUGAUCUUCAUUUGUUCCUUAACGAGAUUCUCCUGUUGUGUAUUUAACGAGCUACUGUAGUGUCAAAAACGCUCUUAUAUUAUGGGACGGAGUGAGUAACAAUCAAAUCCAUGCACAUAAUAUACUAAGAUACGAGCUCUCAACUUCCGGUAUCCAGCUUCACAUGUUGCAUCAGUUAUUGCGGCCUCCUAUUUACAUGAACUGCCGGGGAAGAACAUAUCUAAAAUGCCGCCGCCUUGUGAUGAUUAUUAGCUGCUAACCGGGUCUAACUAACUGAAUGCAGGGAUUCCUCCAAGUUUAUCCACCUCUAAUCACAGAACUGAACUUCGUGAACUACCUGUAAACUCUAUCUAACCCUUUUGCAAGCUAAAAGGACAAAAAAAAAA